ensembl:lncRNA
AGGUGAGUCCGAUGUAAUCAGAAAGCUCCUUAAAAGUGGAAGAGAGGCAGAAGAGAUCAGAGUCGUGAGAUAUGAGAAGGACUGGACCUGUCAUUGCUGGAGGAAGUGGGCUAUGAACCAAAGUGGUGGCUUCUAGAAGCUGGAAAAGGCAAGGAAAGGAUUCACCCCUAAAGCCUCAGGAAAGGAAUUCAGUCCUGCUGACACCUUCAUCUUAGCCCAGUGAGACCCUUGUUGAACUUCUACAGAGCUCCUUGGGAGAAGCCAUAUCGCUCUAACCAUCUCCCUCAUCAACGCCCAAAUCUCACCCAGCCUGCUUGCUGAGAAGUCUGAGAAGAAGGGUCCCUGAUUAUGUGGAGCCACAGCUCUAAUUCACACUCUAUAGUUAAAAGAAAGUUAAGUUCACUCUUGCAAUCUUCCCACAUGUGCUUCUGUGUCAUGAAAUAAAAAAUAAAUACAGAUCAUCAUUUGGAGAGGUCAGUGUCCAGGCAAGCUAAGAAAGAUAGAUUGGCUCAAGCUGGUGGCCUUCCAUCACCCCCCAUAUAGACCUAAUUAUAAAACACACACCACCUUAGUGAGUGAUUUAUUCUCCUGAGAAGAUCUGGAGGAGUUACAGCUUAUUGGAAAGGAAGGCAAAAAUAGGGAUGCUCUUCCAAAUACCAAAAUGAGCAAGAGGAAUUGGACUAGAUUUUAACUAAACAUGAAGACUGAACUUUCCUUCUAGAUCUCAGUGAUGCUGGAAGUGGCCCUCCUGUCUUGUGGCACGCAGCAGCCUCAGGACCUGUUAAACUAUCACUGGAAAGGGGAGGAGGAGAGAAAGCUCCCAGAAAGGGAAGGCAGCUCCCCGCUUCAGGUACAUCAUGCCAAUCAGAACAUGACAUUGUAAUACAUCAAACACGUUUCCAGAAGAAAAGAACUUGUGAAUUUAAAAGCAGUUGAGUGUGGGAAGUCCAUCAGCAUUUUCAAAUAAUCAUGUCCAUAAUCAACUAAAAAGGCUAUCUUCAGUUAACAAGAGUUAGUCCUUCAUAUAUGGACUAUUAACAAGACACUAAUGCAAGACUUACUAAUCAGACUUCCCUACUAGACACUACCUUGCAUUUAUUGUUGAGAUGUGACACAUGAUGUUAAUUACAAAAUAAAUGACAUUCAGCCAGAAUCUAAAUAUCUAGGAAUCUAAAAUAACCAGAUCUUAUCUCCCACCCCUAUAGUCUUGUACGAUGAUAAUGAUGCCAACCCAGAAAACCCUGACAUUUUCUGUUUCUAAGGUUUCUCUGAAUCACCAUAAAGAUUUACUUAUGCUCUUGUGAAAUGCAUGUGCAUUGUUUUUACAGUAAGCCAAUUCUUCAAAAAUUGGUAAUCUGAAAUAUGAGACUUCCCAAAGCAGCCUUAGCAAGAAAAUUGCCGCAUUUGCUUCUUAACAGUCCUACCAGAUUACCCCCAAAUUUGGUGAGAUUUCCACUCUUUAGACUUGGGUGGUGAGGAGCAUAGUUAAACAGAUGUGGGCACGAAUCCUCUUCACUUCAACCCGUAAUCUUGGGCACGUUCAUUAACUCUCUGUGCUCAGUUUCCUCAACUGAAAAUCAAGAAAAACAAUACCUAUACCAUGAGGGUAUUUGUGUGGGGACUAAAUGAGAUAAUGUAUAAUAAUGACAUACUGUCCAGUAAUCCUUUAAUAAAUAGGGACUGCUAAUAUCUUCUUUAACUCAAUCACCUGUUUAGAGGGUGAGCAAUGACAGUGAGGCAUAUAAAAAUACACACAACUCUGAGGGAACCCUCUGCACUGGAGAGAAACUACAACCACGCAUGACACACUGACACCAAUCUUAAACCAUUUAUAGGAAAGGGCUAAGUGACCAGCAUACAAUAUUGGUUUAGAAAUUGAGAGACGUUGCAAACACAAAUGGCAGAGCAUUCUUACUCCUCCAUUCUCACCUGAUCCCAAUAAUGAAGAGCACAGCUGGGAUGGAAGGAGACCAAGCUCCCUACCUUCCUGCCCAGCGCUCUUUACAACCUGCGAGCUGCACGCUGAGGCAUCACAGCCAGGUCGCGGAUGGUGGAUACAAUUAUCUCCCAGCCCUUUGAAGUUCGGCCAGAAAUAUUUGUUGUCAAUAUCACAUGUGAUUAGGACAGCAAUGUCCUCCUGCAAAAGACAGAACCCUUUGUCCACCACCCUCCUUCUGCCACUGCCAGAGAGCAGGAAGUGGGUGAGGGGCCGGCGCCUCUCUCCUCUUGGUCCAAUUUAACACAUUGGUUUUUCAGCAUUAAUAAAUUGGUUACAUUUGCCCUGCAUUUGGCAGCAAGGUUUCUAAUAACACUCUGAUCCCUUCAGAGAACAUGAAUCACUGGCAUGUGGGGGCUCUGGUUACCUCCCCCGACUGUCUGCUGCUAAAGGUCCCACACAUUAGCAAGGGUCAGGCACUCACCCGGGCCAGGGCAAAGUCUAAGACAAGGGCCAUGGCUUCGAGGCACUGCCACGGAGCUCAAAGAUUUUCCCUCAGAGGGAGAACAGAAAACUUUGAGCCCAGGCAAUGUGCAGCUUUCUUCAGCUGUCAAUCCUACCUGGUUUGCAUAUAGAUUAAGAAAACGUGUGAGAUUUUACCACAAGAAUCAGUCCAGAGAAUUCAAGGAGGGUGGUGGUGGGUGGAGAGAGGAUGGGAGGGAAAAAAAUGUGUGAUGCAGAUGUCUGAG